rnacentral:misc_RNA from 1 species
GUUAGUCUUUGCAUCAGCCUGUGGAUCAUAAGAAAUGUAAAUACAGAAUGUGAAAAAGGUUAAUCAUUAAAGAGCACUUGAUAUAUCAUUAUGGCAGUUAUAAAAACAAUACUGAAUACUCUUGAAUGAAUAAUAUGAUAUUGGAAGGCUGUGGCAAUGAUGGUGACCACAAUGCCAAAAAACAGUUUAGAGGAAGGAACAAUCUCUGAAGACAUAUUGUGGAUGUA